UAAAAGCAAGGGUAUCGAGG
rnacentral:misc_RNA from 1 species